UCUUUAAAUAUUUUUAUACUUAUCCUAUCGCGGUCUUGCAAUAAAAGGCAAUAAUAAUAACAAAAAAAUACGCGCAAGUUUUAAAAUUUUAAUUCAGAAUUUAACACGCGAAAUGAAAGAUCAACGUUGCACACGUUGACGUUUGAGGUUAGAAUCGACAGGUAGCAGUAGCAGCGAAAACGUUGCGAGCAUGCGCGACGCGCGCACAACACAUACGCAACGCCAUACACACACAUACACACACAUCAUAAAUACGUAACGCAUAUAUUCAUCGUUGAAAAUAGUUAAAGUUAGGUUUAGCUUGCUCGACGCUUCAUUCGGUUCGAUUCGGUAGGAUUCGGCUUCACUCGGCAUAGCUCGUUUCUCUUUUUUUUUCGAGAACCCCCACUACUUAUCCCCCAUUACUCCUCCACCAUCUUUGUUUCCCCUCCACUAUAUCAAGCGCCAUCUCUUUCUAUCUUUUACUUCUUCCUACUACAUCAGUCCUUUUCUCUCUCUUUCUCUCUCAUCCGUACUCUUACCCUUUUUCAAAUCCUAAAUUUCGAGGUCACAAUUCAAACAAAAUUCCAUUCUAUAUAUUUAUCUUUCUCUUUUUAUCUCACUACUUUAAUUGUGUGUGUGUACUUCACACAUGUGUGGUAUGUGCAUACGUAUACGUAUCAGUUGUGUAACGCAUGUAAGAAAUUGCGAUUACCGUAAUAGCGAAAAUAAUGUUUGGUAAUGCGACAAAAUUGACGAAAUUUAGCCAAAGAAUUUAAUAAAUUGUCAAUGUUAUAUUGGACAUUUAAUUCAUUUGGAAUUCCAACGAAUCUAAUAUCCAGAGAAUUUACUCUACCAUCAAUUAAUUAAUGGCCCACGACCGUGACUAUGACCAUGACCGUGAAAGAUCUUUUGAUAUUCAAAGUUAGAAGAUUUAACAUUCCAAAUAGUAACUAACUUUAUAUAAACGAGAAGUAGUAGUAGUAGAAGUAGAAGAAGAAGAAACUUUAGUUAAAACUCUAAUUAGAGUUUUAUACUUGGCAUUUUGUAAAAAAAAACCAAAAAAUAACUGUAAUUGGAAGAGGAAUAUAUUUAUAUAAUCUAUCUGAAGUUGGCAUACCUGUGC